UCGGACGUGGUGCAUGGCGCACGCUUGCCUUAAAUCAAGGAGGAAAGAGAGUAGAUUAGAGGCAAGAACCCCGGGUUCGACUCCCGGCGUCUGAA